rnacentral:tRNA from 1 species
GAGGGUAAAGCUCAGUGGUGGAGCGUGUGCUUAGCAGGUAUCAGGUCCUGGGUUCAAUUCCUGGUACUUUCA